rnacentral:piRNA from 1 species
UUCGACAAGUGUUUUCAGCUGUGUUAGGGCU